CAGUCGCCACGGUAAUACGGAGGGUGCAAGCGUUAAUCGGAAUUACUGGGCGUAAAGCGCACGCAGGCGGUUUGUUAAGUCAGAUGUGAAAUCCCCGAGCUUAACUUGGGAACUGCAUUUGAAACUGGCAAGCUAGAGUCUUGUAGAGGGGGGUAGAAUUCCAGGUGUAGCGGUGAAAUGCGUAGAGAUCUGGAGGAAUACCGGUGGCGAAGGCGGUCCCCUGGACAAGGACUGACGCUCAGGUGCGAAAGCGUGGGGAGCAAACAGGAUUAGAUACCCGCGUAGUCCCUGUCUCUUAUAC
rnacentral:rRNA from 1 species